GGAUCUUCCCAACCCAGGGAUCGAACCCAGAUUUUCCGCAUUGCAGACAGAUUCUUUACCAUUUGAGCCACUUGGGAAGCCUUAGUGGAAGUAUUUACACCAUGGAAAACACUGCGAUAAAACAACACUACAGUAUAACCUUUUAUUUUUUGGAGAAAGUUGCUUCUUAAAUGUUUUUUUAGAAAUCACAGUAGAGUUGCUUCACAAUGUUACGUUAGUUUCUGCUGCACAAGGAAGUGAAUCAGCCAUAUGCAAACGUAUCAUCUCCUCCCUCCUCCUUGGACCUCCCUCCCACCCCACCCUCAAUCCCACGACCCUAGAUCAUCACGGAGCAACAAGCUGAGCUCCCUGCACCAUGUGGCAGGUUUCCACCAGCCAUCUAUCUUAGACAUGGUAGUGUAUAUACGUCAUUCCCAAUCUCCCAAUUCAUCCUCAUCCUCCAUGUCCACACGUCAAUUCUCUGGGUCUGCGUCUCUUUUCCUGUCCUUCAAACAGGUUCAUCUGUACCAUUUUCUACAUCCCACAUAUAUGUGUUAAUACAGCACACCCCUGAUUAUACAAGUAAUACUAGUCAUUUUUUUAUUGGACACAAUCAGAAUCAACUGUCCUCUUUAGUACCUCCCAUACUCAAUCCAAUAAACAGUUUGGUGUGUUUCUUCCAGACCUUUUUCAUACAUUUAUGUAUUGUGACAUUUGCUGAGUUUAAAUGUACUGGCUUAUUGCCUCUCAGCUGGGAAGCUUUCUCAGACUGCUCCUGCUGCCACUAUUAUGUCUUUCCUCUGAUCUCCUUCUACACCCACUACAUCUUUUCUAACUUCUGUGUGCCUUGUUUUUUCUUAAGAUUUCAAGCUGUUUGGAGAAAGGUAUCCUUAAAUGCCUGUAUUUUCUACUCAACGGGCAACCUUCAUUAAAAUGAGUACGUUCUAAGGAUCCAAUGUACAGCAUGCUGACCACAGUUAACAAUACGCUAUUGUACACUUGAAAGUGGCUAAGAGAGCAGAUCUUAAGUGUUCUCACCACAAAAAAAAAAAAGGCAGUUAUAUGAGAUGAUGGUAUUAACUAAUCUUAUUGCAGUAAUCAUUUUGCAAUGUGUAUGUUCCUCACAUUGAACACCUUAAACUUAUACACUGUUAGGCAUCAAAUUAUAUCUCAAUAAAGCUGGGGGGGAAUUAAAAUGAAAUAAAAAGAACCGACCCUCCAAAAUGUCACUCGUUUAAUUCUUUGAUCCAAAACCGGCUAGGAAUCAUCCAGUGCCGUCUGAAUAUAGCAUUAGAUAGACAGAAUCCAAGCAAUAAGCCCUUUCAAGGUGUUUUCUUUAUUUUUUCUCUCUUUCUUCCUUUGGCUACCUCGAGUCUUAGUUGCAUCAUGCAGAAUCUAUCACAGUGAUGCACAGAUUCUCGAGUUGCUUCGUGUGGGCUCAGUAGUUGCAUGCAGGCUUAGCUGCUCCACAGCAUGUGGGAUCUCAGUUCCCCAACCAGGGAUCGAACUCAAGUCCCCUGCAUUGCAAGCUGGAUUCUUAACCGCUGGACUGCCAGGUCACCCUGUGGACCGGGAGCCACACAGAGUAAGAACGAACCUUCCGGCUCUCAGCAGAGAUUCUCAUGAAAUCUCCAGCUCCAGGACUCAACCUCCUCUUCUCUUUUUCUUGACAUCCAAUGGUGAUGUUGUCCGGGUGACCUGGUCUUCAGCACAUGCCCAAGCCCUCCCUAAUGUAAUUCCCUCCUCCAAAUUGUAAGCUGUGGUUGGUUAAUAUCAGUAGUAACCACAGAAGAACACAUGAGAAGUCAAGACACUUUUCAUUGAGAACUAUUAGUGAUAUGAUUAGUCAUCAUCUGUUGAACUCUAAUGGGGCUUCCCUGGUGGCUGAGUGAUAAAGAAUUCACCUGCCAGUGCUGGAGACACAGGUUCAAUCUCUGGUGCAGGAAGAUCCCACAUGCCUAGAAGGAACUGAGCCCGUGUGCCACACUAUUGAGCCUGUGCUCUAAAACCCUGGGAACCACAACUAAGGAGUCCCCACGCCACAACUACUGAAGUCCGUGCACUCUAGAGUCUGUGCUCUGCGACAAGAGAAGCCACUGAAGUGAAAAGCCCAGGCACCAUAACCAGAGAGUAGCCCCUGCUUGCUGCAAUUACAGAAAAGCCUGUGUAGCAAUGAAGACCCAGCACAGACAAAAAUAAAUUAAUUAAUUAAUUAAAAAAAAAA